rnacentral:rRNA from 1 species
GAUGAACGCUAGCUACAGGCUUAACACAUGCAAGUCGCGGGGCAGCAUGGGGGGUGCUUGCAACCCCUGAUGGCGACCGGCGCACGGGUGAGUAACGCGUAUCCAACCUGCCCUUCACCACGGGAUAACCCGGCGAAAGUCGGACUAAUACCGUAUGUUGGCCAUUGACGGCAUCCGAUUUGGACGAAAGGCGGGGCGGAGAAAGGAGGGGGAGGCGGUCGAUUAGCUUGACGGCGGGGAAACGGCGCGCCGGGGCUACGAUGGUUAGGGAUUCUGGGAGGAAGGUCCCCACACGGGAACUGAGACACGGUCCAGACUCCUACGGGAGGCAGCAGUGAGGAAUAUUGGUCAAUGGGCGUAAGCCUGAACCAGCCAAGUAGCGUGCAGGAUGACGGCCCUAUGGGUUGUAAACUGCUUUUAUGCGGGGAUAAAGUGGCCCACGUGUGGGCUUUUGCAGGUACCGCAUGAAUAAGGACCGGCUAAUUCCGUG